GGUCUCAGUUCGGACUNUAGGCUGCAACUCGCCUACACGAAGUUGGAAUUGCUAGUAAUCGUGGAUCAGCAUGCCACGGUGAAUACGUUCCCGGGUCUUGUACACACCGCCCGUCACACCAUGGGAGUCAGCAACGCCCGAAGUCAGUGACCUAACCGAAAGGGAGGAGCUGCCGAAGGCGGGGCCGGUAACUGGGGUGAAGUCGUAACAAGGUACC
rnacentral:rRNA from 1 species